CUGAAACAUGAUUAUUCUCUUUUUCCACUAACUAGUUUCCUUUGCAUAAAAUACACACUCCAAACAUAUCUUCUCUCUACAUAAUAACUAGCCCUUGUCUUUUACAUUAAAAAUCUCAACACCCUUCUACAUCCAUACUACAAGACCUGCUACUUACUGCAUACAACCUCCAAACAACAAGCUACCUUCUAUAUUUCCACCACCAAACUCACAAAAAACACAACUCACCACCGCUGAUUCACCUUUACGACCACCACACAACCAGUCUGUUUCCAUCCCAACAAUGAGUCAU
rnacentral:lncRNA from 1 species